UUUGAAUUCUAAUUAUACGGUAAUCAAAAUAAUUUCUUAGUUUUAAAACCAUCUCCUUUCUAAAUCUACCACUCUUCUCUCCUUCUCGUCGGUAUAGCCAUGGCAGCGACAGAAAAUGACGAUGUUGCAGAGUUUGAUUGUUUGGAGACGCUUUGAAUGACGAAACAAGAUGUGGGUUCGUGGCACAUGUUCGACGGCCAGAAUGUUUCAGGUGAUUGAUUGCAACAUGUUCGGAGAUGUGCAGUGCCUAAUCUGGAGGCCUCCUCCUACUCCAUUCCGAGACGGAGGAUUGGGUCUUAUAGUGCUGUCGUAAUCUGUAUCAUUUAGUCGCUCUUGUGCUAGUCUAGACUAGGUUGUGGGAACUUGAAAAGAGUCUUAUCUAUUAACAGUUGUAAAUAUUUUCAAUAUUGGAGUUUAUUAGGCAAUUGAUUUCCUAUGUUAAUUGUACUUAGUUUUUGGAAUAUUCAAGUUGUCUUUACUUGAUUAAUGUGCUAUUCGAUAGAGGGUUCGCCUACCGAGGUGGGAAAGGUAGGUGCCUGCGCGGUCCUAAAAUGGGUCGUGACAAAAAUGAAUUUGUAUGUGCAUUUAGAAGGAGGAGAAAGAGAUGCAGAUAUGGUGGUUGGACUGUUUACGAGGGUAAAGAGAAGAGAGAGAGAAAGAGAGAGAGAGAGAGAGAAGAAGAAGAAAGAGAAAAGAAUAGUGUUUAAUUUCUUUUACCAAAAAAAAAAAAAAAAGGAGUAAAGAAAAGAAAAUUAAGAAAAACUUGGUAUCCUGCUAUAGCAGGUCAAAGUUACUGAUGGUGUAAAAUAUUUUAUAUACCGAUAGUGCACCAAACUUAAACUCUAUUUUUAUUCAGAGUGAAACUAUUAUGAUCUCCCUAAAUGAUCACGUGGCAAAGAAAGAAAAAGUACUUAUUCUAUCAAAGAAAAAAUAGCCUGCAUUAACAAUUUUUGGUCUUAUAAUUAUAGUAAAAUAGCCAGAGUUUGUGAAACUAAUUAUUUUUUAAUGCGGAUAUAAAAUCUUGAAUAAGAUUACCCUAAACUAAAAUAGAAAAAACUCCAACAUAUUGCGCAUGGGUUCAUAAAAUGCUAGGAUUAAAAAAAAAAAAAAAAAGGAUAGGCUUCAUGAAAAAAAUGCUGAAGUUCACAAAAAAAAUGCUUGAAUUGAUGAAAAAAAUGUUAAAGUUCAUCAAAGAAAUACUGAAGUUCGAAAUUCUAACAAGUUAAAUUCAAUGACAAUAGUUUAGAGUUUGAAAAAAGUAAAAAGCUGAAAAAAUUGAUCUUUAUCUUUUUUUAAGCGUUGAAAUUUUAUCCUUCAUGUUAAAAUAUGGCUAUUUUUUCAAUGACUUUUGAAUAUGCAACUAUUUUUUAUUACUUUUGAAUAUCCUCCCCAUCGUUCCUCCAUCACGUAGUAAUACCACCACAAUAACACCGCCACCAUUAAUAUUAUCGCCACUUUCAAGCACUGAAACAUCAUCAGACACCCAUUAUAAUUAUCAAAUUUGGAAGAAGACCUUAAAAACCACCAUUGUUGAGUUUGAAGUUCUCAAAUCUAUAAAUAUAAAAUCCGAAGAGUGUUGUAAACAUCGGUGUUUAAAAUCUGGUUGGUAAUACUCGUGUGAAGCUUAUACUAAAUUUUAAGCUCAAAUGAGGUUUAUUUG